AUUGAACGCUAGCGGGAUGCUUUACACAUGCAAGUCGAACGGCAGCGCGGACUUCGGUCUGGCGGCGAGUGGCGAACGGGUGAGUAAUGUAUCGGAACGUGCCCAGUAGCGGGGGAUAACUACGCGAAAGCGUAGCUAAUACCGCAUACGCCCUACGGGGGAAAGCAGGGGAUCGUAAGACCUUGCACUAUUGGAGCGGCCGAUAUCGGAUUAGCUAGUUGGUGAGGUAACGGCUCACCAAGGCGACGAUCCGUAGCUGGUUUGAGAGGACGACCAGCCACACUGGGACUGAGACACGGCCCAGACUCCUACGGGAGGCAGCAGUGGGGAAUUUUGGACAAUGGGGGCAACCCUGAUCCAGCCAUCCCGCGUGUGCGAUGAAGGCCUUCGGGUUGUAAAGCACUUUUGGCAGGAAAGAAACGUCGCGGGCUAAUACCCCGUGAAACUGACGGUACCUGCAGAAUAAGCACCGGCUAACUACGUG
rnacentral:rRNA from 1 species